rnacentral:rRNA from 1 species
GACGAACGCUGGCGGCGUGCUUAACACAUGCAAGUCGAACGGAAAGGCCCUGCUUUUGUGGGGUGCUCGAGUGGCGAACGGGUGAGUAACACGUGAGUAACCUGCCCUUGACUUUGGGAUAACUUCAGGAAACUGGGGCUAAUACCGGAUAGGAGCUCCUGCUGCAUGGUGGGGGUUGGAAAGUUUCGGCGGUUGGGGAUGGACUCGCGGCUUAUCAGCUUGUUGGUGGGGUAGUGGCUUACCAAGGCUUUGACGGGUAGCCGGCCUGAGAGGGUGACCGGCGACAUUGGGACUGAGAUACGGCCCAGACUCCUACGGGAGGCAGCAGUGGGGAAUAUUGCACAAUGGGCGGAAGCCUGAUGCAGCAACGCCGCGUGCGGGAUGACGGCCUUCGGGUUGUAAACCGCUUUCGCCUGUGACGAAGAGUGAGUGACGGUAAUGGGUAAAGAAGCAACGGCUAACUACGUG